ensembl:lncRNA
CACUGUGUAGCUCAGGCUGGCCUUAAACUCACGGCAAUCCUCCUGCCUCAGCCUCCGGAGUGCUGGGCUCAUAAGUGUGCGCCACCACGCCCCAGCCCCCUUUCCUUUUGAAGUUCAGUGUUACUGGAACUUUCUGAUUGGCUGAGUUAAUCCAGACACUAGACUAUGGACAGGAAAGGACACAAAUCUCCCUCAAGGAGGAGACCCAAGCUAAACUGAAGGUUCCAAGGAGCCAACAGGGAAGGGCUGAUGGUUCUGGUGUCCCCCGGGCAUGCUAAGCCCCGAAGGCCAGGUGGUUUUGGUGGCAGGACAGUAACUCUUCUUCUGCUCAGGAGCUGGGGCGCCCUAGACUGGGUUGAGCUGAGGCAGCGCAUGGCUGGGUGGGUGUGGAAGCAGAGAGCCGUGCUCAGCUCUGAUGCCCGGGUCUUGUGGGGCUGACAACUUCUGCACCAAGCAGGGAGCCCAGGAGACCAUCAGUUCUCCGGUCUGUCUGAGUCAGUGCACAGGAGUGGCAGACAUUCUGAAACAGCGCUUGCCUUUAACAGCCCAGGUCCAAUCCUUGGGUAGGGGUGCUUUCCACUCUGAUCUGGUCAGGUGGGCUUUUCCUUUCCUUUUUCUCUUUUGCUCUCCCUCCCCCAUUUCACAGGUAGUUAGUAACCUACUUAAUGUCUUUUCCAUUUGAAAAGUAAGCUUCAGUGGGGGAGCUAGGGGUUGUCUUGCUGGGUCACUGGCCGCCAGGGCCCCAGUGGGCCCAACACAUGCCAGGCCCUGUGCUGGGUGUGAAGAGGGCGGUGGGACUUGGUGGGGGGAGAGAUGGAGGAAGAAUAGAUGGGGCUUCGAGGGGCAAGGGUGCUCACUGCAUGAGGGAGCAGGGUAAGGGUCCUUCAGCUCCGGGCGGUUUUCUUGGCUCCUUUGACAUCUGAGCAGGUGAGGGUCCAAGGCCAUGGUAAAGGCCCCCAGGUCAGAGCCUGCUUGGCCGUCCUGGGAAAAGCAAGGGGCCAACGUGGUGGCAGGUGGUAUGGGAGAGGACCUUGGAGCUACUCUAGGCACAUCAGGUCUGAUUGGGGCAGAACAGGGAGGUCCUGGGGGUUCAAGCAGUGGCAGGCCUUUGGGUAGGUGAGUCGCUCUGGCUGCGGUGCUGAGCAGAACCCCAGAGGACCACGGUGGCUUGUGCUGCAGGCCAGGAGGGUGCUUCCUUCCGGGGAGGGUACCAUCCAGCCGAGGGGAAGGCAGGUGGACUCCCGGCUUACCUGGAUUGGAGGGAGGGCAACCCACUGUCCUGUUGACAGUCGGUAAGGGGUGCAGAUAUCUUGGAAUGAUUUUUUUUUUUUUCUGGUACCGGGGAUCGAACUCUUGACCUUGCACUUGAGAAGCAGGCGGCACAACCACUGAGCUAGAUCCUCUCCCCCUUGGAAUGCUUGUUGAGUCGUGCAUUCCCCACGCCACCCAGCUUCCUGCUCUAGACCUUCCGCCCCGCGGGUGGGCUGAGUUCACACUCGCUGCUCAUUCAGCUUCCGGCCCUGCCCUGCUCUGAGGCCCGAUGCUCUGGGGCUCGGAAGGUGCCGGGCCUUCCCUGCGUGCACCUGGUCACCGCGCCCGCCUGCUGUUGGGUAACGCCGGUUUCCAUCGCUAGAUGGCGCCGCCCAGGCGCAGGGCCCCACCGGCCCCGCGGCCGCUCUGGCUCCAUCUCGGCUCUCCUGAGGCUCCGAUGCCUUCGACCUGGGACGCUCAAGGUUCCACGGCUGCCUGCGCUCUAAGCCGUCGCCUCGAGAUGGACACCUGUCUGCCGCUGUUUACUGCUCGUCUUCGCCCUGCCAGCCAACGCGCACCCUGAAAACCCAUCAUGAAAUACUUGGAUUUAUUAUUACUUACUGUCCCCACAAUGGAAGCUCAGGAAGUUAAGAAUUCUUUUUAAUAUGGGCUGGGGAUGUAGCUCAGUGGCACCGCGCCUGCCCGGCAAGUGCAAGGUCCUGAGUUCGAUUCCCGAUACGGGGGCGGGGGGAGACUUGAAGAAAUGUUUUUGUUGGUUUUUUUUGUACCAGGGAUCGAACUCCAGUCCUUGCGCUUGCAGGGCAGGCAGCAGAACCACUAAGCUAAAUCCCCGGCCCUGUUUUUUGGGGGGGAUUUUUUGGUUUUUUUGUUUUGAGACAAGGCCUCUCUUUGUGUUCAGGCUGGCCCUGAACUCACUUUGUUGCCCAGGCUCCCCUCGAACUCGUGGCAAUCCUCCUGCCUCUGCCUCGCGAGUGCUGGGAUCACAGGGGUGUGCCGCCACGCCCGGCUAAAGAGUUCUUUUUAAAACUUUUUUUUUUUUUUUUGGUACCGGGGUGUGGAGAGCGAAGGGUUGAAACAACCCUGAAAGACUCCUAAACCCCUUGAGAUUCUUGAGUCAGAUAAGAACAUAAUAAGCCAGGAUAUGAAACUGGUACAUAAACAAGGAUGUUGACUUGUAAAGAAAACAACGAAUAUAGGAGGAUUUGAAUGUUUGCUGGACAAGAAAGUAACAUUCCCGGAAUUGUAAAGAUAUAUUUGACCUUUUCUCUGUAAAAAUAAUUAGUCACGAGAUCAUGA